GAUGAAGAACGUAGCGAAAUGCGAUAAGUAAUGUGAAUUGCAGAAUUCAGUGAAUCAUCGAAUCUUUGAACGCAUCUUGCGCUCCUUGGUAUUCUGAGGAGCAUGCCUGUUUGAGUGUCAUUAAAUUCUCAACUACACUGACUUUGAAUUGGUGUGGCUUGGAUUUGGGGGGAAAAUUGUUGUGGGCUUUUUGUAUAGUCUGCUCCUCUGAAAUUGAUUAGCGGUACCUUUGUGGAACUGUCUACAGGUGUGAUAAUUAUCUACAUCUUAGACAUCUGCUGGAAUGCUGCUUUCUAAACCUUACUUGUAUUGACAAUCUUGACCUCAAAUCAGGUAGGACUACCCGCUGAACUUAAGCAUAUCAAUAAGCGGAGGA
rnacentral:misc_RNA from 1 species